UCCAAUGGGAGACAGCGAUGACGAGUUUGACAGGAGGGCGUCGGGAUAAAUUCAGGAGAGAGCGGAGCGACAUGGAGAGGUCAAGAGAGAGGAGGACAGGAGGAGGGAUGAGUGGCAAGACAGAGAGUGGGACCGGAAGCAGAGAGAGGAGGCGGGGAUUAUGACCGUGGUCGGCGAGAGCGGUUCUCUCCAUCCAGACACAUCAGCCCUCAGCACAAACGCAUGAGGAGAGACUGGGAAGACCACCGGGGGGAGCCAUACCGGUACGAGCUGCCGUACGGGGGCGGUGGUGGCAUCUACCCAGGGAUGGGGCCUCAGGGCUGGCACCCGGACUUCCCUCCCAUGCACCCCCACCCUGGAGGUCAUCCGCUGCAGGGCAGGUUGGGGAUGGUAGAUCCAGAUCUUCCUCCUCCGGGACCACCCACCCUGAAGAGUUUUAAGGAGUUCCUGUUGAACAUGGACGACAAUUGUGGACGAGACAGAGUCGGUCAAGCGCUACAACCAGUACAAGCUGGACUUCAGGCGGCAGGCAGCUGCAGGACUUCUUUCUCCAGCACAAAGACCAGGAGUGGUUCCGCUCCAAGUACCACCCAGAUGACAUGGCAGCGAAGAGGGCGGAGUCUCUGGCCGCCCUCAAGGCGCGCCUGCGUGUCUUUCUCUUCCUGCUGGACAACAGCUGGCUGGAUGAUGUGCUGCUGGACACGGACCACGCCCCCGCCAUCAUCAAGCUCAUGGACGCAGGUAGACGCGACGGGAACCCUAACCCAGACUCUUUCGGUUUCUCAUGUUGGAAUUUGGUUCCCCCACAGCUGUGAUCAAGAUGGAGGGAGGAACAGACUUUGACCUCCAGGUCCUCGAGGUACCGACUGCACUUGUGGUCAGUGGAGGGGAGGAGACCAGGGCAGGACGGGAGGGAGCCAGGAAGCCACGAUGGGAGGAAACGGCGUCGCUCCGGCCAAUACGGAGGACCCGGGAAGUCAGGGGGAGGGAGGCGCAGCAGCAGGAAGGGGCGGGACAGGAAGGGCUCGAAACAGGUCUGGACGAAGUACUGGAGUACCGAAGUAACUGUACUGCAGUACUGCAGUAACUGUACUGCCAGUUACUGUAGUGAAAUACUGAAAUAACUGUACUACAGUACUGCAGUAACUGUACUGCAGUACAGUUACUGCAGUACAGUUACUGCAGUAACUGUACUGCAGUUACUGUAGUGAAAUACUGAAAUAACUGUACUACAGUACUGCAGUAACUGUACUGCAGUACUGUAGUACAGUCUGUACUGUUACUGAGGAAUCGUCUUGUAAAAAUUGUGGAUUUGGGCCGGCUCUCUUGAUUGGACCACAUUGGUCACAUGGUGUUUCCUGCCCUGGCAGAAUGGAGCGGACGGAGGUGAAGAAGAGGAUGAGGAAGAAGUGAAGAUGACAAAGAAAGUGGGUCAGAGGUGCGAUUCUGCCACUGGAACUUGCAGGACAGUGUCGGUUCUAAACUCCGCCCUCCUCUCAGGACAGAAAGAGGAAGCGCAGCCUGUCAGUGGACAGCGGACCGAGGGCAGCGCCUCAGACUCAGGACUCCUCCCACUCUGAUGGAGAGAAGGAGGAGGAGGAGGAGGAUGGAGAGGAAGGUACGCCUCGUGCUUUCAGUCUGGCCCCAAUCAGGUCAGAGGGUUAGGCUGUUUAUGUGUGUGUGUGUGUGUGUGUGCGCACAGAGCACCGGAAAGAGCGAGGCAAGGAAAGGGAGAAGCUGGCGCCGGUGAAGCCCCGCCCCCUCCACCUCACCACGUCCCUGUUCAUCCAGGAGCCUCCCUCCAGAGGUUGUCCGAAGGACGAGAUCACUGCUGUAGGUACACACACACACACACCCACACACACACACCUGAGAUUCCUCUGUCCCACACACACACAUCUGAGAUCCUCUAUCACACACACACACACACCUGAGAUCCUCUAUCACACACACACACACACACCUGAGAUCCUCCUAUCACACACACACACACACACCUGAGAUCCUCUAUCACACACACACACACACACACUGAGAUCCUCUAUCACACACACACACACACAUCUGCGAUCCUCCUGUCCCAACAAACACACACCUGAGAUCCCUUUACCACACACACACACACCACAACUCUGAGAUCCUCUAUCCCCCCCCCACAACACAACACACAUCUGAGAUCCUCUACCCCCCCCCACACACACACACACACGGCCUGUUGUGUACCUGUAACCAAACACAGCCAGUCGUUCCAUCCACCAGGAAGUCCUUGAGCUGGUGUUCCUGUUUGCAGUUGUGGUCACAGGUAUCC
rnacentral:lncRNA from 1 species